rnacentral:rRNA from 1 species
UGUGUAGGCGGUCUGUCAAGUCAGGGGUGAAAUCUUUCGGCUCAACCGGAAAACUGCCUUUGAUACUGACAGGCUCGAGCGGGGUAGGGGUUGCGGGAACUACCAGUGGAGCGGUGAAAUGCGUUGAUAUUGGUAGGAACGCCGGUGGCGAAAGCGCGCAACUGGACCUCUUCUGACGCUGAAACACGAAAGCUAGGGGAGCAAACGG